rnacentral:rRNA from 1 species
GACAGAGGAUGCAAGCGUUAUCCGGAAUGAUUGGGGCGUAAAGCGUCUGUAGGUGGCUUUUUAAGUCCGCCGUCAAAUCCCAGGGCUCAACCCUGGACAGGCGGUGGAAACUACCAAAGCUGGAGUACGGGUAAGGGGGCAGAGGGAAUUUUCCGGUGGAGCGGGUGAAAUGCGUAGAGAUCGGAAAAGAACACCAACGGCGAAAAGCAUCUGCUGG